AGGCCAGGACCACUGAGGGCUUCGGGCCAGAGCGCGAGGGCAUCAUCACCAUAGAGUCCCAGGAUGGAGGACCCUUCCCGCAGCUGGGCAGCCGUGCCGGGCUCUUCCAGCACCCGCUGCAAAGCGAGUACAGCAGCAUCACCACCACCCACACCAGCGCCACCGAGCCCUUCCUAGUGGGUGAGCACUGAGGGCUAGGGGAUCCCGGCUCUCCUGGGACAGGGAGCUAGCAGAGGGAGAAGGGCAGACCCCAAGCCAGGUCAUCUAAUGCCUCCUCCUCCACAGAUGGGCUGACCCUGGGGGCCCAGCACCUGGAGGCAGGCGGCUCCCUCACCCGGCAUGUGACCCAGGAGUUUGUGAGCCGGACACUGACCACCAGCGGAACCCUUAGCACCCACAUGGACCAACAGUUCUUCCAAACUUGACCGCACCCUGCCCCACCCCCGCCACGUCCCACUAGGCGUCCUCCCGACUCCUCUCCCGGAGCCUCCUCAGCUACUCCAUCCUUGCACCCCUGGGGGCCCAGCCCACCCGCAUGCACAGAGCAGGGGCUAGGUGUCUCCUGGGAGGCAUGAAGGGGGCAAGGUCCGUCCUCUGUGGGCCCAAACCUAUUUGUAACCAAAGAGCUGGGAGCAGCACAAGGACCCAGCCUUUGUUCUGCACUUAAUAAAUGGUUUUGCUACUGCUA
rnacentral:lncRNA from 10 species